UACGUAGGUGGCGAGCGUUGUCCGGAUUUACUGGGCGUAAAGGGUGCGUAGGCGGACUUUUAAGUGAGAUGUGAAAUACUCGGGCUCAACUUGAGUGCUGCAUUUCAAACUGGAAGUCUAGAGUGCAGGAGAGGAGAAUGGAAUUCCUAGUGUAGCGGUGAAAUGCGUAGAGAUUAGGAAGAACACCAGUGGCGAAGGCGAUUCUCUGGACUGUAACUGACGCUGAGGCUCGAAAGCGUGGGGAGCAAACAGG
rnacentral:rRNA from 1 species